UACGUAGGGUGCAAGCGUUGUCCGGAAUUAUUGGGCGUAAAGAGCUCGUAGGCGGUUUGUCACGUCGGAUGUGAAAACCCGAGGCUUAACCUCGGGCCUGCAUUCGAUACGGGGCUGACUAGAGUUCGGUAGGGGAGACUGGAAUUCCUGGUGUAGCGGUGAAAUGCGCAGAUAUCAGGAGGAACACCGGUGGCGAAGGCGGGUCUCUGGGCCGAUACUGACGCUGAGGAGCGAAAGCGUGGGGAGCGAACAGG
rnacentral:rRNA from 1 species